UGCAAGUCGAGCGGUAGCACAGAGAGCUUGCUCUCGGGUGACGAGCGGCGGACGGGUGAGUAAUGUCUGGGAAACUGCCUGAUGGAGGGGGAUAACUACUGGAAACGGUAGCUAAUACCGCAUAACGUCGCAAGACCAAAGUGGGGGACCUUCGGGCCUCAUGCCAUCAGAUGUGCCCAGAUGGGAUUAGCUAGUAGGUGGGGUAAUGGCUCACCUAGGCGACGAUCCCUAGCUGGUCUGAGAGGAUGACCAGCCACACUGGAACUGAGACACGGUCCAGACUCCUACGGGAGGCAGCAGUGGGGAAUAUUGCACAAUGGGCGCAAGCCUGAUGCAGCCAUGCCGCGUGUAUGAAGAAGGCCUUCGGGUUGUAAAGUACUUUCAGCGAGGAGGAAGGCGUUAAGGUUAAUAACCUUGGCGAUUGACGUUACUCGCAGAAGAAGCACCGGCUAACUCCGUGCCAGCAGCCGCGGUAAUACGGAGGGUGCAAGCGUUAAUCGGAAUUACUGGGCGUAAAGCGCACGCAGGCGGUCUGUUAAGUCAGAUGUGAAAUCCCCGGGCUCAACCUGGGAACUGCAUUUGAAACUGGCAGGCUUGAGUCUUGUAGAGGGGGGUAGAAUUCCAGGUGUAGCGGUGAAAUGCGUAGAGAUCUGGAGGAAUACCGGUGGCGAAGGCGGCCCCCUGGACAAAGACUGACGCUCAGGUGCGAAAGCGUGGGGAGCAAACAGGAUUAGAUACCCCUGGUAGUCCACGCUGUAAACGAUGUCGACUUGGAGGUUGUUCCCUUGAGGAGUGGCUUCCGGAGCUAACGCGUUAAGUCGACCGCCUGGGGAGUACGGGCCGCAAGGUUAAAACUCAAAUGAAUUGACGGGGGCCGCACAAGCGGUGGAGCAUGUGGGUU
rnacentral:rRNA from 1 species